UUUGUGUAUAAUGUAUUAAGGGGAGAUAAUCAAUCCAAUUGACUUCAUAGGGGUGAACAAAAAGAUUGUUUUAUGAUGUCAGGUUUGAGGUAAUGGAAUGUUAUAGUUUGUGUAUAAUGUAUAAAGGGGAGAUAAUCAAUCCAAAUGACUUCAUAAGGGGUGAACUAAAAGAUUUGUUUGAUACUGUCAGAUUUGAGGUAACGGUAGGUUAUACUUUGUGUAUAAUGUAUUAAGGGGAGAUAAUCAAUCUAAAUGACUUCAUAAGGGGUGAAC
rnacentral:lncRNA from 1 species